GCACUUGUGAAUAGCUCAGUUUGGUGAGAGCAUUGUGCUGAUAACAUCAAGGUUGAAGGUUUGAUUCCCUUAUUCCUGCA